rnacentral:lncRNA from 10 species
CGGCCGGCCAACGCUGCGCCCCGCCCCCUACCGGGACCUAGGCGCUGAUUGGCCCCUGAGAGACCCUUUGCGCCCAGGCAUUGGUCCAGUGGCCGCCUGUCGACGAGGGGGCGGGACUCCGAGGGGUAGCGAUUCCCGUAACGCGGCUCUUCGCGUCCCGGAUUCCGGUGGCUGCGUCCGCGUCGCCUCUCCCAGACUAGAUCGAAGGGUUCCCCCCACCUCCCCUCUGUGGGCGGAAAGAGCGGAAUGUUCCAUUUUUCUGUGGAAUAACGGGGUCAUGAACUGGAGCCCGGGUGCUGCCCGCCGCCCGCUGCCCCCGCCCUCCCUUCUCGCCAGGGCGCCUGCGGCCUCUCUUCGCGGCCUUCCCCGAGGGACUCAGAGCCGCGAGGGACCGCCUAGCUCCCUUGGGGAUGGGGAAGGCGUGGGAGCCUCUUGGGGAAAGUGAAGAGCUCGGUGGCCGUGACUCCGCACGAGACUGCGGCAGAUUGUGGCGGCGGCUUCUCUCCAAGACUUACGUAAACGAGCCUUGCCACAGUACUUUUUUAAAUUAGUAAAUGAGUUUGGGUGCGAUUGAUCAGUGAGCCCCAGAGGUGGUGGCCCACCAAGCGACUAGUGUUUCUUUGCGGUUUGUACCUCCCCGUUUAUGAUAAAAAAUACCGGGAUUUACGGAAUGGCCAUCUUCCAUAAUUAACAAAUAAAUAAAUGAAAUUUAAUGUCAGGGUCAAAUGAAACUGGAAACAAAGCUUAUCUGGUGAUAUAUCAAAUUAUGAGAGUCAUUAUUUGGAUGUAAGGAUAUAUGACAGAUAGACUCUUAGGAGAAAUGCUAUGACCUCCUGCUUCUUGGUAUUCCUUGUGUGAUUUCCUCCUCUUGAGUGUGAAGGCAUGUAUGUCAUUGAGUUAUAUAAGAUAGUGCCCAUCUUGCUAGUGUCUCUCUCUCUCUUGUGGCUCUGAAAAAUCAAGCUGCCUGCCAUGUUUGAGCUUUGAUAUGGAAAGACCCACAUGUUAAGGAACUGAGGGCAGACUCUGCCAACAGCUAGCUUUGAAACUGAAUCUCCCGGCCAGGCACAGUGGCUCAUGCCUUUAAUCCCAGCACUUUGGGAGGCCAAGGUGGGUGGAUCACAAGGUCAGGAGUUCAAGACCAGCCUGGCCAAGAUGGUGAAACCCCAUCUCUACUAAAAAUACAAAAAUUAGCUGGGUGUGGUGGCAGGCACCUGUAAUCCCAGCUACCCAGGAGGCUGAGGGAGAGAAUUUCUUGAACCCAGGAGGCAGAGGUUGCAGUGAGCUGAGAUCACGCCACUGCACUCCAGCCUGGGUGGCAGAGCGAGACUCCAUCUCAAAAAAAAAAAAAAAAGAGAGAAAGAAACCAAAUCUCUCAGUCCUACAACCUCAAGGAACUGAAUUUUGCCAACAAAAGCAGAUCCUUCCCCAGUCAAGCCUCAGAUGAGACAGCAUCCUCAGCUAACAACUUGUUUGCAGCCUCAUGAGAACUGAAGCAGAGAACCCAGCUAAACUGUGCCUAGACUCCUGACCACAGAAACUGAGAUAAUAAAUGUGUGUUGUUUUAAGCUGCCAAGUAUGUGAUAAUUUGUUAUGUAGUGGAGAACUAAUACAACAGGGAAAAGUUAAAAGCUAUUCACAUAAAUAUUUAUAAUGGAUACUAUUUCUACACAUUUAAAUCAAGCUUCUCUUACGUUCAUAAGAAGAUACGAAUCUGGAGAAGGAAAUUAUAUCAAGCAGAACGCUGCUCUGGUGUUGUGAAGACGGGAUCCCACCAUUCUAAUGUAUUCAAUUUAUUUAUUCAAUAAGUUUUGAGCAUCAACUAUGUUCCAGGCACUGAGAUAUUAAUCUAAGGAAGACACACGUGUUGUCCUCAUUGAGGAGCUCAAAAGUCUAAUACAUAAACCAACAAUCAUACAAAAAUCAUAGCCAUGUUACAGUGCUAUGAGGAAGAUGUUAAGAGAAUAUUCUGGAAGUACUCAUACAUAAAUACUUCAGAAACUGGGCAUUAUAAGAAGUCAGUUGCCUCUCUCUACUUUCAGUUCUACAUUUUUAUACCUUGUAGUGGAUUUAAAAUGGCCACAAAUUCUUCAAUACUCUUCUAUGGAGAGAUUUGAGGGCUAUUUCCCUUCAUCUUGAAUUUAGGCAGGCUUGUUCAGGGUCUGGCUUUUAAGAGGAGCUUUCACCUUGGUCUGUGGAAGUCCUGAGUCACUGUGUACAAAGUCCAUCUACCUUAUUACACCAUCUGGAGAGAGCUGAGACUACAGGGAGAGGGGGAGUGGCCCGGCUGAUCCCAGUCUUCCUAGUGACCCUGCCCAGGAACUUGGCAUGUGAGUAAAGCCAUCUUGGAACCUCCAUACCAGACCAGCCACGAGAUGAAUAAUACUAACUGAUCCCAGUCAAUGCCACAUAGAGCAGAAGAACUGCCUAACUGAAUUCUUUCCAAACUGCUGACUCAAAAAUUUGUAUGGUAUAAUAAAAUGUUUGUUUUAAGUCACUGUUUUGUUAGGAGUAAUAAGCAACCAGAAUAAAAUUCUAAUCUUUAUCAUGUACCGUGCUGAAAAUCUGACCAUCUCACUCUCCUUAAAACUCCGUCAAUCCCUUCCCAUUACCCAAAUC